AACGGGGGGGAACUAGCGUUAUUCGUCAUGAUUGGGCGUAAAGGGCAAGUAGACGGAACUAAAUGUCCUUGGUAAAAAACUGAGUUCCAAGCUCUUAAUAUUAAGGAAUACAAAGGUUCUAAUGAGUACAGCAGAGGAUUGAGGUACUUUCAGUGUAAAGGUGACAUUUUUUAAAUAAUUGAAAGGACCACCAACGGGCGAAAGGCGUCAAUCUGGGUUGUUACUGACGUUCAGUUGC
rnacentral:rRNA from 1 species